CAUACAGAGCACAAUUUGCAAGUGAAGCAGGGGGAGGCAGUGCCCAAACAAGAUUCCCCUUUCUUUAUAUUCGCAAUAGGUAUAUUUAUUACCACUCUGUUUGUUUGUUUGUUUUCUGAGAUUUUCUGAAAUAUCUAGGAGAGCAUCAGGUGGGUUGCAGUCCUAAGAUCAUUGCUCCGUGAGUGCUUUCUGCAUUGCACAUCCACCAGUAAUCCAUGGAAGGACAGUUCUGAAUAUGCCCAUAGCCUGGGCAAGGGAAGGCAUGGAUGGCACCAUGACAGUGCCAACAGCUCUUUGAACAGCAACAAAUUGGUCACACAAGUGAUGCCUAAACUUCAGGCCUCCGUGUCAAGAGCCAUGGACACUUUGCUCUUGAAAGAACCUGAUUUUGCAGGAUGUUCCGGUCUGAAUUUGUCGAGUCUACGUUAG
rnacentral:lncRNA from 1 species